rnacentral:rRNA from 1 species
CCUACGGGAGGCAGCAGUGAGGAAUAUUGGUCAAUGGACGGAAGUCUGAACCAGCCAUGCCGCGUGCAGGAAGACGGCUCUAUGAGUUGUAAACUGCUUUUGUACAAGGGUAAACCUGAAUACGUGUAUUCAGCUGAAAGUACUGUACGAAUAAGGAUCGGCUAACUCGGUGCAAGCAGCCGCGGAAAUACGGAGGUGGCAACCGUUGUACGGAAUUACUGGGGGGAAAGGGAUCGUAGGCGGGAAGCCAAGUCAGCUGUGAAAACUACGGGCUUAACCUGUAGACGGCAGUUGAAACUGGCUUUAGUGAGUGAAGUAGAGGGUGGCGGCAGUCCGAGGGUAGCGGUGAAAUGCGUAGAUAUUCGGAGGAACACCGGUGGCGAAGGCGGCCAACUGGGCUUUAACUGACGCUGAGGCUCGAAAGUGUGGGGAGCAAACAGGAUUAGAUACCCGAGUAGUC